AACGAACGCUGGCGGCAGGCCUAACACAUGCAAGUCGAGCGAGGACUUCGGUUCUAGCGGCGGACGGGUGAGUAACGCGUGGGAAUGUGCCCUUCUCUACGGAAUAGCCCUGGGAAACUGGGAGUAAUACCGUAUACGCCCUUUUGGGGAAAGAUUUAUCGGAGAAGGAUCAGCCCGCGUUGGAUUAGGUAGUUGGUGGGGUAAUGGCCUACCAAGCCGACGAUCCAUAGCUGGUUUGAGAGGAUGAUCAGCCACACUGGGACUGAGACACGGCCCAGACUCCUACGGGAGGCAGCAGUGGGGAAUCUUAGACAAUGGGGGCAACCCUGAUCUAGCCAUGCCGCGUGAGUGAUGAAGGCCUUAGGGUUGUAAAGCUCUUUCAGCUGGGAAGAUAAUGACGGUACCAGCAGAAGAAGCCCCGGCUAACUCCGUGCCAGCAGCCGCGGUAAUACGGAGGGGGCUAGCGUUGUUCGGAAUUACUGGGCGUAAAGCGCACGUAGGCGGACCGGAAAGUCAGAG
rnacentral:rRNA from 1 species